ensembl:lncRNA
AUUCUCUUAUGGUUACGUGUUCAAUGAGAACCUACAUGAAAUCAUUUCUGGGAUCAUCCUGGCCUAAUGGGAUAUUUUCCAUCCACCUCAGCAGCAUGGGAUCAGAUCCACGGUCCCAUCCAGCAGAGCCAUUUGAACUCCGGAAUUGGAAAAAGUACUCCCUGAUUCCAGCAAGUGUUCAACUAUUUGAGUAUGUACAUUCAACAGGCUGCCUGUAGGAAAUCUCUCAGGUGUUAUUUAGUUUGUAUUCUGCAGUAACAAGUCUGAAUGAACACCCUGGAAAAUGAACGCUAAGACCAGCUACUUCCAGCUUCACACUGGGCACUGCUCAGAUAAGGACUGUACCCACGUGGAACCCUGAGUCUUAUGACUGUAGUCCAGAACAAAAGCUUUUAGCGAGUGCUCUCUGGAAGAGAUGGUGUGCUCAGGGAGUCUUUGUCCUCUGGAGGAUCACUUGUCUUUAUGUAACUAUGUGUUAGUUGACUGAUUUUCCUAAGAAUGGGAGAACAUGCAACCAGCAGGGAAAAGGAUAUGUAAGAUGACAUGCAGAGGCAGUGUCCAAGAUGUGUGACUCUUCCAUUACAACCCGUGAGAAUGUGCCCAUACCAUUUCCAAACACACCAGAGCAGCUGACUUCCUGCAAUCCAUUCCACCUGCCUGCUGUAAUGUCUUUGUCAGUGAGUUCAGAGGCAACACAAACUUAAUGAACUCAGUCUGAAGUACAACUAAGGACAACAUGAACUCACUUUUGAAAAGAGCACGUGAGCUGUUUUGUUGUGACAGAGAUCUUGCAACCUAACGGUAGAGAAGAUGGUUUGUAAUAGCCUCCUACUAGAGGGAAGACAUUGGGUGAAGUGAAGCCCUGUGCAGCGAAGCAUGCUUGGUUUGUUGUCAUUUCAGCUCUUAGUUAAAACAGACGUGUUCACAGCAGGUUUGUAAGUGGGCCAAACAAACAUACAGCAGCUACUGUGUCAUAUUAAUAACAUUCUAGUGAAUAUAAUUUCAGCUAAUUAGGUUACUGAAACUAAGGGAGAAAAUCUGUAAGGUCAGGACAGUUCUUCACGUAACUCAGUAGAUUUCACGCUGGAACAAUCAGUCAUGGAUUCGUGAAUCACAGAGGUGACUCCCGAUAUCAUCAUAAGAAAAUGAUUUAUGUUACUUAGCCAAAAUCCGUGUACACCUAUUAUUAUGUUAUGUAUAUAGAAUCAUAGAAUAUACUGAGUUGGAAGGGACUCACAAGAGUCAUCGAGUCCAACGGCUGGCUCCACUCAGCACUACCCAGAAUUCAAAGCCCAUGUCUGAGAGCAGUAUCCAAACACCCCUUGAACUCCGGCACUCAGGGCUGUGCCCACUGCCCUGUGCAGCCCGUUCCAUGCCCACCGCCCUCUGGUGCACAACCUGUCCCUAACCCCCAUCUGCUCCUCCCCUGACACAGCUCCAUGCCGUUCCCUUGGGCCCUGUCGCUGUCACACAGAGCAGAGCUCAGCGCUGCCCCUCCGCUCCCUGUGAGGAGCUGCAGCCGCCAUCAGGCCUCCCCUCAGCUCCUCUGUUCUGCUCUGAGCGCACGCAGGGACCUCAGCUGCUCCUCACACGUCUUAGGUUUAGGUUCACAUGUAUUCCCAGUGGCAUCGGGGAGUACUCAGUACUUCUGCCAUGGUGGAUGUUCAUUGUUUAAUUAUCAGCUCCAGAGAUUCAUCACUCAGCAAUGACGUUGCAAAGCAAGAAGCUUUAACAUGAACCACAACUGCAAUGAUGAAAUUUAAUUAUGAUUACAGCUGUUAGAAAUUGAGAUAAAUGGUACAGAUAGAUAGUGUUGUUCAUAAACAUCAACAGUAUUUGAUGUGAUAGAGUCUAUGUGAGGGCCUGAUUCCAGAAACCACUGGGAGGUUUCUUCUUCUCAUGUAAAAUGAUUUUUAUUGCAUUUUG